rnacentral:rRNA from 1 species
AGUGAACGCUGGCGGUAGGCCUAACACAUGCAAGUCGAACGGCAGCACAGUAAGAGCUCGCUCUUACGGGUGGCGAGUGGCGGACGGGUGAGGAAUACAUCGCAAUCUACUUUUUCGUGGGUGAUAACGUAGGGAAACUUACGCUAAUACCGCAUACGACCUACGGGUGAAAGCAGGGGAUCUUCGGACCUUGCGCGAGUGAAUGAGCCGAUGUCGGAUUAGCUAGUUGGCGGGGUAAAGGCCCACCAAGGCGACGAUCCGUAGCUGGUCUGAGAGGAUGAUCAGCCACACUGGAACUGAGACACGGUCCAGACUCCUACGGGAGGCAGCAGUGGGGAAUAUUGGACAAUGGGCGAAAGCCUGAUCCAGCCAUGCCGCGUGUGUGAAGAAGGCCUUCGGAUUGUAAAGCCCUUUUGUUGGGAAAGAAAAGCAGUAGGUUAAUACCCCGCUGUUUUGACGGUACCCAAAGAAUAAGCACCGGCUAACUUCGUG